CCCUCCUACAAAGGGGUGUCAGUGGUUCCCUGCGUUUGGACACGCAAGAACUGGAGGCGGAGAAGUGCGCACUUGGAGAAAUCUGGCGUCGGCUUGCUCCCUGUAGGCUCGAAAUCAGCCAUCCUACGUAG